rnacentral:siRNA from 1 species
CAUUCAUUUGUAAGUUACAGAGA